GAGCAAACCCAUAUGAAAGUAGAAGAAGAAGAAUAACGAGAAACACGGACUGAAGAUGUAGCCUGAGUAAUAUUUAACUUUCCAUAACUCUGUGAUUUGAAUGAGAGGGAUUAAAGGAUGGGUGUGCGAUGGCAUGCAAUGAGCGUCAANNNNNNNNNGAUGAGUAUGCGAUGGCGUCGAGGAACGAAGGAGGGAGAUAUGUGACUGAGGUGAGAGCCAGGGAGAGAGGGACGAGGGAGAUUUGAUCUGAGAUAGGCGAG
rnacentral:misc_RNA from 1 species